CUUUUUUGCUAGUUCCGCAUGAUGAAGACUGAAUAUUACUUAUAAUACCGUCAUUUCUUCUUGUACUGAUGGAAAAGGAAAUGUUUUAGGUUUGCUUUUGUCUGGUACAUCCAGAGUCAACAGCCUCUUGUGUAUGUAAUGCCUUCUAUCGUAAAGAACAGUGUCAAUAUUUAGCUACUUUCCUCCAUGUGUAAAUAAAAGAACUUGUAAUCCUCUAUUUUUUUCUUCCCAUUCUGCUUGAGAAGGCUAAUUUUCAAAGUCUGUUUCUUCUGGUGUUCUUUGAGACUUUCCCCCCACCUCUAAGUAUUUGCAUUUGAAAUGUUAUUUGGGGGACUGAAAAAUAUUUCUUCUGUUUGCUUUCCAAAUAAUGGAACUGACUCAGAAAAAGAGUGCUGGCAUUAGCUGGAAACUCUGCUAAGUUACAAAAUCAGACGUGAUUUGUACAGCCUUGAAGUUUAGAGUUGCUUCUGGAAAUGCAUACCGUGUACCUGCCAACUCAGAUAAACGGAGACUUGUUAACGUCACUGCUGGUGGAAUAUCCUCAGUAUAUGAAGACAGAGAAAAGAAAGGAGGCCAGUGACAGCCAGUUGGGCUGCUCUAUAGUCAUCAUUCAAGAUUUGCUCCUUUGUGGCACAUACCUCAUGCUUGACUCUGACAUAGCAUUUGGAAAGAAAGUGUUCUGAAGCCACUAUACACUGAAGAGCUACAGAUGAUGACAGAGAAGAUCAGCACAGAGCAAACAUGGAGUGGGAAGAACAUCAUGGAUGCCCACACUAAUCCUAGCAAUGACCAUUAGCCCAAAGGGAAGGCUUAGAGAUGAAUGACUUGAAAACACAGCCAAGCCACCAAAGACUUUCCAUUCAUAAUGUUGGAAACAUCUGUGCUUUGAUGCUAAGCUAAUAUUAAUAGACUUCUACAUGGAAAAACUUGGCAUAUGCUGUGAAUAUACAAAAAAGUUUGAUCCAAAGGAAAUUUACAUGUAAAAAUAAUUUACAAGGUAGACAGAAAUAACAAAAACCAAAUGCAACGUAUGAAUUAAUGAAAGUGAUUUAAUGAACACAGAUAAAGAGAGUAUCGGGUCUGAAGGAGAGUCUCGGGAAUUGUGGUUUGAUAUCAGACUUGAGGGUGAGAUCAGUGAACUGGCGUAUCACACUGAGUAAGGAGAAGCAAAGACCCAUUAGGAGACAGAGCAAGGUAGUGUGCAGUUGUCUGGUAUUCAGGAGUGUGACAGAGGAGGGGGACAAGGGAAGAGCAGAGCAGUGUCUGUACCUCAGCUUUGCUUCAGGCGACAUAACUUGGGGGCUCUAUCAGCAAGAGCGCUAUGAUAAACUGAAUGCUAAUACCCUCUCUCAAACCAGCUUGAGUUAUUGGCC
rnacentral:lncRNA from 1 species